rnacentral:rRNA from 1 species
AUACGUAGGGUGCGAGCGUUGUCCGGAAUUACUGGGCGUAAAGAGCUCGUAUGUGGUUUGUCGCGUCGUCUGUGAAAUUCCGGGGCUUAACUCCGGGCGUGCAGGCGUUACGGGCAUAACUUGAGUACUGUAGGGGAGACUGGAAUUCCUGGUGUAGCGGUGAAAUGCGCAGAUAUCAGGAGGAACACCGGUGGCGAAGGCGGGUCUCUGGGCAGUAACUGACGCUGAGGAGCGAAAGCAUGGGUAGCGAACAGGAUUAGAUACCCUGGUAGUCCAUGCCGUAAACGGUGGGCGCUAGGUGUAGGGGUCUUCCACGACUUCUGUGCCGUAGCUAACGCAUUAAGCGCCCCGCCUGGGGAGUACGGCCGCAAGGCUAAAACUCAAAUGAAUUGACGGG